rnacentral:rRNA from 1 species
GACGAACGCUGGCGGCGUGCUUAACACAUGCAAGUCGAGCGGUAAGGCCCUUUCGGGGGUACACGAGCGGCGAACGGGUGAGUAACACGUGGGUGACCUGCCCUCAGCUCUGGGAUAAGCCUGGGAAACUGGGUCUAAUACUGGAUAUGACUCCACGGUGCAUGUCGUGGGGUGGAAAGCCUUGUGCGGCUGAGGAUGGGCCCGCGGCCUAUCAGCUUGUUGGUGGGGNGAUGGCCUACCAAGGCGACGACGGGUAGCCGGCCUGAGAGGGCGACCGGCCACACUGGGACUGAGACACGGCCCAGACUCCUACGGGAGGCAGCAGUGGGGAAUCUUGCGCAAUGGGCGAAAGCUUGACGCAGCGACGCCGCGUGAGGGAUGACGGCCUGGUGUAAC